rnacentral:tRNA from 1 species
CCCUGGGUGAUGCAAAGGAUUAGCAGGUUCGGCUGAUAACCGAAAGGCUGGAGGUUUGAGUCUACCCAGAGGGG